rnacentral:lncRNA from 1 species
CCUGAUCAUCAUCAAUCAUCCCCCCAAAUCCAUCAUGAGUUUCUCAUCAUCAUCAUCCAUGAGUUUCCUGAUCAUCAUCAUCAUCGAGUCCUGAUCAUCAUCAUCAUCAUGAGCCCUGAGCAUCAUCAUCAUCAGUCCUGAUCAUCAUCAUGAGUCCUGAUCAUCAUCAUCAUGAGUCCUGAUCAUCAUCAUCAUGAGUCCUGAUCAUCAUCAUUAUCAUGAGUCCUGAUCAUCAUCAUCAUCAUCAUGAGGCCCGAUCAUCAUUACCGUCAUCAUCAUGAGUCUUGAUCAUCAUCAUUAUCAUCAUGAGUC